AACUUUCUGAAACUGUGCAGAGAUUUCAUCAGACACCAACCCAUCGGAGCUGAUCAGACUUCCAAGAUAGGUGAAGUU
rfam:Schistosoma rodhaini strain Burundi genome assembly, scaffold: SROB_scaffold0005299